rnacentral:rRNA from 1 species
CACGUAGGCGGACAUUUAAGUCAGGGGUGAAAUCCCGGUGCUCAACCCCGGAACUGCCUUUGAUACUGGGUGUCUUGAGUGUGGAAGAGGUGAGUGGAAUUCCGAGUGUAGAGGUGAAAUUCGUAGAUAUUCGGAGGAACACCAGUGGCGAAGGCGGCUCACUGGUCCACAACUGACGCUGAGGUGCGAAAGCGUGGGGAGCAAACA